rnacentral:rRNA from 1 species
GACGAACGCUGGCGGCGUGCCUAAUACAUGCAAGUUGAGCGAUGAAGAUUGGUGCUUGCACCAAUUUGAAGAGCAGCGAACGGGUGAGUAACGCGUGGGGAAUCUGCCUUUGAGCGGGGGGCAACAUUUGGAAACGAAUGCUAAUACCGCAUAACAACUUUAAACAUAAGUUUUAAGUUUGAAAGAUGCAAUUGCAUCACUCAAAGAUGAUCCCGCGUUGUAUUAGCUAGUUGGUGAGGUAAAGGCUCACCAAGGCGAUGAUUCAUAGCCGACCUGAGAGGGUGAUCGGCCACAUUGGGACUGAGACACGGCCCAAACUCCUACGGGAGGCAGCAGUAGGGAAUCUUCGGCAAUGGACGAAAGUCUGACCGAGCAACGCCGCGUGAGUGAAGAAGGUUUUCGGAUCGUAAAACUCUGUUGGUAGAGAAGAACGUUGGUGAGAGUGGAAAGCUCAUCAAGUGACGGUAACUACCCAGAAAGGGACGGCUAACUACGUG